rnacentral:rRNA from 1 species
GUAACACGUGGGUAACCUACCUUAUAGAUCGGGAUAACUCCGGGAAACCGGGGCUAAUACCGAAUAAUACUUUUUAACACAUGUUUGAAAGUUGAAAGACGGUCUUGCUGUCACUAUAAGAUGGACCCGCGGCGCAUUAGCUAGUUGGUGAGGUAACGGCUCACCAAGGCAACGAUGCGUAGCCGACCUGAGAGGGUGAUCGGCCACACUGGGACUGAGACACGGCCCAGACUCCUACGGGAGGCAGCAGUAGGGAAUCUUCCACAAUGGACGAAAGUCUGAUGGAGCAACGCCGCGUGAGUGAAGAAGGAUUUCGGUUCGUAAAACUCUGUUGCAAGGGAAGAACAAGUAGCGUAGUAACUGGCGCUACCUUGACGGUACCUUGUUAGAAAGCCACGGCUAACUACGUGCCAGCAGCCGCGGUAAUACGUAGGUGGCAAGCGUUGUCCGGAAUUAUUGGGCGUAAAGCGCGCGCAGGUGGUUCCUUAAGUCUGAUGUGAAAGCCCCCGGCUCAACCGGGGAGGGUCAUUGGAAACUGGGGAACUUGAGUGCAGAAGAGGAUAGUGGAAUUCCAAGUGUAGCGGUGAAAUGCGUAGAGAUUUGGAGGAACACCAGUGGCGAAGGCGACUGUCUGGUCUGUAACUGACACUGAGG